rnacentral:rRNA from 1 species
GCACGGGUAGCAAUCCUGGUGGCGAGUGGCGAACGGGUGAGUAAUAUAUCGGAACGUGCCCAGUCGUGGGGGAUAACGCAGCGAAAGCUGUGCUAAUACCGCAUACGAUCUACGGAUGAAAGCGGGGGAUCGCAAGACCUCGCGCGAUUGGAGCGGCUGAUAUCAGAUUAGCUAGUUGGUGGGGUAAAGGCCUACCAAGGCGACGAUCUGUAGCUGGUCUGAGAGGACGACCAGCCACACUGGAACUGAGACACGGUCCAGACUCCUACGGGAGGCAGCAGUGGGGAAUUUUGGACAAUGGGCGCAAGCCUGAUCCAGCAAUGCCGCGUGCAGGAUGAAGGCCUUCGGGUUGUAAACUGCUUUUGUACGGAACGAAAAGGUCUCUCUUAAUACGAGAGAUUUAUGACGGUACCGUAAGAAUAAGCACCGGCUAACUACGUGCCAGCAGCCGCGGUAAUACGUAGGGUGCGAGCGUUAAUCGGAAUUACUGGGCGUAAAGCGUGCGCAGGCGGUUUUGUAAGACAGAUGUGAAAUCCCCGGGCUCAACCUGGGACCUGCAUUUGUGACUGCAAGGCUAGAGUACGGUAGAGGGGGAUGGAAUUCCGCGUGUAGCAGUGAAAUGCGUAGAUAUGCGGAGGAACACCGAUGGCGAAGGCAAUCCCCUGGACCUGUACUGACGCUCAUGCACGAAAGCGUGGGGAGCAAACAGGAUUAGAUACCCUGGUAGUCCACGCCUUAAACGAUGUCAACUGGGUUGUUGGGCCUUUACGGACUCAGAAUCCAAACUUAUCGCGGGAGAUUGACCGCCUGGGGAAUACGACCGCCAAGGUUGAAAUCCACCGGAGUUUACGGGGAUCCU